UGUCCGCACGGACCCGCCGCGGAGGCGGCCCGGGAGCGGAGCGGGACUGCGGCUGAGGGCGCUCCGAGGAGCCCCGCGCCCGGGCGGAGCCACUGUUACUCUGCCCGGCGGCUGCAGCCCGUCCUGUGUCACUGCCGGGGGCGGGGGGUGGCCCUGGCGAUCCCCGGGGGGAGCAACACUGCGGCCGGGCUCCGCUUGUGUUCCCGCCUGCGUUUAGGAGGAAAACAAACUUCGGUGGGUUUGAAGGUUUGGGCUGCGGAAGGUCUGGGGGCGUCCAGUGCAGGUGUGUCUUUAGCUCUGUGGAACUUUGGCUUUACGCUCUGUAAUGCCGAAAGUGGAGGCUUUAGGGUGGUAAUUGGCGAUUUUUUGCAUGUGUGUCUUUCUUUGGCUUCCGCCUCAAGUGCUCCCCUCGCACAGCGGGGCUGCGGUGCACAGCCUGCUCUACGCCCACACUGAAGUCACAGGAGUCAGGAGCAGUCAGCACCUGGCAGGGGCGGAGCUGUCGUGUGUUCCUUAUCAUCUGGGAAACUCGGGGCUGCGUUUUUUCUGCACAGGUCACAUGUUUCGCACCUAGGCUUGGUGAUGUGUCUCUGCAAUGGUGGCUUGAUUGCCUACAGUGGUUUUAGAAGAAAUUCAAGAACUUGAGAGUGCUCAAUUCUGUGAGGCAAGGAGAGUUGCUACUUCCUGCUGUGUCUGUUUCCUUGUAGUGAGUAAAGGGUCUGUGCAGAAAUGAUGGGCAGAUAACCCUUCAUUAACAACUCCUGAAGUCUUCGUGACAAGCAAUUGUAGCAACAUUGAAUGCCGGUUACUGCUGUUAAUAGAAGGAACCCUGCCUUGUACUGAGAGGGAGGCAGAGACUUCCUGCAGCUUUUGCACUCUUGGAUUAGCUGGGUCCUAUGGCUGCAGUACACAACAGUACCAGACACGGUCGUUCCAGCAGCACCUGCCCUGCGGGAAGGCUGCCAGGCGGGAGGAGGCAGCACCCGCGGCAGCCUCUCAGCACAGCCUCCGUCCUCGGUGUGUUUAUAGUGAAGCUGUUACGGAUGAAGGAGGGCAGGGAGGCCAGUGUUUUGUCACCCAGUGGCUUUUUCCCAUCAGUGUGCUGACCCACUGCCAGCUCUGCGAGCUGUUUUCCCCUUUCAUCCCAUUAUCAUCCUCUUGGAGCAUAGAGGUACCUCAUAAAAUUUAUAAGCACUUGCACAUAACAACACAUUUUAGGAGAACCUUGAACGACAGAACAGGAGGCUUACUGUAGGAAGCUAAAAUAUGUCAGUAACGUCUCACUUGUCCCAAACUUCUGGAGUCUUGUUGCUACUAGUUCCAUGGAUCAUAAAAGAAAAUUAUGUGAGAUGCUGUACAUGAAAGCUAAUGACUAAUUAAUUGGGGAUAAUACUUAACUAUGCUGGUCCUGGCAGGGAAAUAAUGAGCUACUGUCAAGGAAUCCUGGCUUUCCAGAAGGUGCAGUCCCUUCCCAUGUAUUUUCCCAUCGGACAGCACCCCUGUGAAGUCCCAGUGUGAUGUGCAUUUACAGCUGCCCCACUGCUGACAGGUGCACUUGCUCCCUAGGACUGUGCAGUGGGGUUUGCAUGGCAGAAGCAUUGUUUACAUUGGAAACUAAUUCUUUAAGAAAUGUGGAGUUAAUUCAGAUACAGCAAUUGAAAAGUCUGGCUGAUUCUUUUAUCAAGCAUGUUCUAUAAGCACAAUGAAAAUAUAUUCCUUCUGCUGUAUUUAAGAAAUAAUUGAAAAUAAUUUAUGCCUUUAAAAGUUUCAGCUACUAAGUUUGAAGCAUGCUAGAUACUAAUGAACGAAAGUAUUCACCCAAGGGCCUUACAGAGCAACUCUUUUCCAUUAUUUCCAAGUGUGUAUUUGUGGUAUUUUCACUGCACUUCCAAUUCAGCAGAGUCUGAAUCAUUCUGCACAGAAUCCCAGGUCCCGUUGGCUGCAGACCUACAGCACCAGAGUGCACCAAGCUCCACCAAGUGAAAUGUGAGCUGCUGGGAGUUUUUUUCCUUUCUAUGAAAAGAGGUGUAUCUGUGGAAUGAGGAGAGUGCACUUUCGUGGAAUUUACUGACCAUUUAAUGGCUGAACGCAAGUUGAAAGCAGAAAUAAAAGUCUGCUGGUUUAGAUCCCCUGCUGUAUACAAGUUCUUAAACUGUUAUGUGUGAGAGGGUCUGGGUUUGUGUGGGUUUAAUUUCUUUCUUAAAGAGAUUUUGUGUUUUCUAAAUGUGAAGUUGUCCUUACAAAUUUUUGGAAUGAGAUUAUGAUAUUUUAUGCAGAAAUAAGGUGAGGACUAAGCUUAUUUUGUCUUUUUUUUGUUUUGUUUUGUUUUAAGAACAGAUGCAGUGUAUUUAAUUUUCCUACUUUGUAUUGAAAAAGAAUAAAAAAUAGUUUUAAAAAUUACAGCAAUGAAAAGGACUCCUGAACUUGGUAUCUCAUGCUAUUUCUCCAGAAUGUUUAAUGCUUAGCUGCCAUGUUGUAUUUAAGCUAUACAAUUAGCCAAAGAAAAUAAAGACACACACACACCAUCCAAUUGUCCUUUUAUAUUUUUAUUCGGUGUUAAGUAACUCCACAAGAAAACAAAAUCAGUUACUCUGGUGUACGUGAAAUCAGAACAAUACAACCACUUGAAGCAAAAAGUAGAAACAAAUUUCAGCCCAGGAAUGGAAAACUGAUACUUCAGUGCUAUGGAUAUGCAAUGCGCUUCAUCCCACAGUGCGGUUCAGCGUACGCCAACCUUUAAUGCUUUUGUUGUUGUUGUUGUUGUUGUUGUUGUUGUUGUUGUGUGUUUCUAUCCAUAUAGAAAAACUAAAAACCACACUUCAACUCUCACUGAAAGCCUUAGAGCUUUAGCCAUUAAACUAUGAAAACAAGUAAAGACAAUUUGUUAUUGCCCAAGCUCAGUAUAGGAUUUUAUUUUCCCCAAAGGUGCUGGAAUCAUUACACACCACAAUGUAACUACGAGCAACACCUUUGAUAUUUUGAGCCCUUUCUUACCAAAGAAGCAGCUCAAGCCAGUAUUAACUGAGCUGAAGUUUGUGUUUGAAAUAUGUCCAUUUGGUCAUUUCCUGUUCUCAAAUGAAGUUCUAUUCCAUUCUUCACUGUAGUGAUUUGAAGAAUUUGUGUGUAAAGUUCUUUUUUUACUUUCAUGUUACAGUUAACUAGUUCUCAGUGCAGGUGCUAAACAACCUCUCAAGGAAGCUCCAGAAGAAAGUAAAAUAUAUAAAAAUCUAUUCAAAGUCUGCAAAUAAAUUAAGAAAAGAAACUGUAAAGUGUCAAAAGAUUUGUUGUAUGAAUACAAACCCUAAAACAUAGUCUAAGAGGAGGACCAAAAGAAAGUCCCCGGGUAAGGGCAACCAAGCCAAUUUUAGUAAGGAUCUCACCAAAAGCGUUGCACAAAGACUGGCAUGGUUCCCCAACCACAUAUUUAAAUUCUUACACUGUCAACUGAAUAAAGGCAACAAAACCCAGUUACUCAGAAAGCAUUUCUAGCGCAGAACAUAUUUCAAAGGCAGUUCAGCUCACAUUUCAAACAGCUACGUUUCUUGUGAGGUUUAUUGCCUGUCAAAAUUAAUGGUGAAGCUUUUCAAGUCAGUGUUGGACUCUCUGCACUUCCUGGUGUUCUAGACAUGCUGCAAUCGUGUAGACUAGUUAGUUGUUGUCAUUUUUUAAACUAGGAGUUGGCAAAAACUUAGAAUGUUUAGUUUUGCAAAUAUUGCUCCUCCUGGCUUAUACAUUUUGCAUAAUGUGUUAAAAGCACAAGGAGUUGAUAGUCUUGUACAGAUGCAACUUGACAAUGUAUUGACUUUCUAAGUUAACAAAAUAAAAUUUAAAAGCAAGUCACAUAAAGCAACAAUCACUACUGCAAUCACACAUGUUAUGUUGUAAUUCAUCACCUUCCCUACCCCCACCCACCACACACAGAACUUGCCCCACACAUUCUCUCAGGAACACAAAAUGAACUACGAGAUUUACUAAAUUACAGCCACAACAGCAGCUAACUGCAGCAGCCACAGGAUUUCUUUCAAGUGAAGCACUGACCCUUUGCAUUUAGAACAUUGAACACUCUGAGCAUUUUAGAGAGUUUCAGUCAUUCAGGCUCAAGUUCAGUUACAGGAUGCUUUUGCAGGUUACAUGAAUGCCUUCAUCUGCAACAAGACAACAUUCUCAUUACUCGUUAACAAAAUUCACAACAAUCCACACAUCACCCCAGUGGUUUAUUAUUUUUGGUGUUACUUUUUAAACUUCUGCCCCACAUUGGCAAGUUGCUAAAAAGGACAAAAAAAA